CCUACGGGAGGCAGCAGUAGGGAAUAUUGCUCAAUGGGGGAAACCCUGAAGCAGCAACGCCGCGUGGAGGAUGAAGGUUUUAGGAUUGUAAACUCCUGUUGUGAGAGAAGAUAAUGACGGUAUCUCACGAAUAAGCACCGGCUAACUCCGUGCCAGCAGCCGCGGUAAUACGGAGGGUGCAAGCGUUACGCGGAAUCACUGGGCGGAAAGCGUGCGCAGGCGGGCUUGUAAGUCAGAUGUGAAAGCCUGUAGCUUAACUAUAGAACUGCAUUUGAAACUAUGAGUCUAGAGUGUGGAAGAGGUAGGUGGAAUUCUUGGUGUAGCGGUAAAAUCCGUAGAGAUCAAGAGGAAUACUCAUGGCGAAGGCGACCUACUGGACCAUAACUGACGCUCAUGCACGAAAGCGUGGGGAGCAAACAGGUUUAGAUACCCGGGUAGUC
rnacentral:rRNA from 1 species